CUGCCUUCUGGUCGGGGGCAACCACUGGAAACGGUGGCUAAUACCGGAUGUGCCGAAGGGUAAAAGAUUAAUUGCCAGAAGAGGAGCUCGCGUCUGAUUAGCUAGUUGGUAGGGUAAAAGCCUACCAAGGCAUCGAUCAGUAGCUGGUCUGAGAGGACGAUCAGCCACACUGGGACUGAGACACGGCCCAGACUCCUACGGGAGGCAGCAGUGGGGAAUUUUCCGCAACGGGCGAAAGCCUGACGGAGCAAGACCGCGUGAGGGAAGAAGGCUCUUGGGUCGUAAACCUCUUUUGUUAGGGAAGAACACAAUGACGGUACCUAACGAAUCAGCCUCGGCUAACUCCGUGCCAGCAGCCGCGGUAAUACGGAGGAGGCAAGCGUUAUCCGGAAUUAUCGGGCGUAAAGCGUCCGCAGGUGGCGAUUCAAGUCUGUCGUCAAAGACUGGGGCUUAACCCUGGAAAGGCGGUGGAAACUGAAGCGCUAGAGUGCGGUAGGGGUAGAGGGAAUUCCCGGUGUAGCGGUGAAAUGCGUAGAGAUCGGGAAGAACAUCGGUGGCGAAAGCGCUCUACUGGACCGCAACUGACACUCAGGGACGAAAGCUAGGGGAGCGAAUGGGAUUAGAUACCCCAGUAGUCCUAGCCGUA
rnacentral:rRNA from 1 species